rnacentral:lncRNA from 1 species
UUAAGCCGCCUAACAUGCGACACCCAUGCCUAAGCCAAGUUAACACGAAGUGCCGUCGGAUUUCAUCCGAUUAACCACUUGAACAGGAUCGAGUUUAGCAAACUCACACAAAGGUGAGUGGUUCCAGAGAAUACAACGAGUCCACUGAGUUAAACGAUUUAACCCUUUAGUUCAGCCACAAAAACCAACAUCAGAGUUCGGCCACAACGAGUCCACUAGUGAUGAUCAAGAGGCAAGGGUCGGAAAGGAACUUAUGAUCUGAUCCUUGAACUAGAGGAUGUGGUAUACUAGGGAUCCUCAGACGCAAGCGCUGAAGGGUUCCUAAAUUUUACACAUACACCCUCGGGUUGAAGAAAAAGAUCACAGCCGGACCCUCGGGCGAGGCGGAUAAGGGUCGGCGGAACAGAUAGGGUCGGGCGAGACGGAACCGGGGUCGGGCGGAUAGGAGGGGUCGGGCGAAGCGGACUGGGGUCGGCAGCUUACCUUCUUCCUAAAAGGAAGGCUUGGGGUCGGAAAGAAGCAGACUUGGGC